GCAGAUGUCGCAGUGUGGUCGAUGCAUGACUGGUUCUAUUGUUCAGUGUUGGAGCGUUCGCGCAGGUGCAGCAGACCCCGGAAGCUACCCGAUCCGACCAGGCUGGUUCUGUUGAUUCCUCUGUAGGUCAACUAAGAGCAAACUACUAAAGACUUUCGUUUUCGUUGUAAGACGCCGCGUUGGGGUGCUGAAAGCAUCUAGGGUGCACAUCAUUACGACAUGAUUGCUAUGAAAGCAGUGACGUUGUUGGUGGCUGCAAAUAUCAUCCUGCUUGUUGCUGUGGUCGUCGUCUUGGCUUUCUACAAACAGACUGGGAGCACGAGCUUCACGGAUACACACUCUGACGUCAUCGAUGCACAGCUUAACGCCCUGUGUGCGGAGACAGUUUCAGAAAACAACUAUCCUCGGGAGUGGGCGGUGUCACAAGAACUGGACGGCAGUUUAUGGAAGCAGCUGCUCACCUGGUCAUUGAUCCCCGAGCAAAGUACACAGCCGCAGUUUCUGUUUUGAACUGGAGAGAGGACAGCAACAGCACCUUCGUUGGUGACAACAUCGAACACGACGCCGGAAGCCUCACAGUGAAGGACGGUGGUUACUACUUCAUCUAUAGCCAGAUCUUGUACCGAGGUGAAGGCACCAGAGAGCUGGAGUAUGGACGGGUACUGCAUAUUGUGUUAAAGCAGAGAAUGUCCGAGCUGUCUGAAUCUCCCACACCGUUGAUGAGGAAUCUCAUAUCCACGCCCUCCAUCAGGAGAGGUCACCUGACCUACGCGAGCAGUGUACUUGGGGCCACCUUCUACCUUGACCCCAACACCAGACUCACUGUCAAUUCUAGUGUCCCUGGGAACAUUGAUGCAACAGGCUCUCCACACUCUAACGUCUUUGGUCUAUUUCUUGUUUAAUGUA
rnacentral:misc_RNA from 1 species